UCGACCGCGUGGAUGGCACAAGAUAAGGAAGCGCUGGCAUCUGGCCUGGCAUCCGAAGACCUAAGAAUAACAAGCGCUUCUGCACUGUCUGUGCAUUGAAACGCCCCCUGCCUUUGGCGCAUCCACCGCGUGGAGGGCCAGGAUGUGCCCUUUGUCCUCCCCCCACAUCAUGUCGAAAUCAUGACCCCCGGACUGCAAAACAACGAAAUUACUUCAGGACUUGAAUCAUCACAAGAGUUUCACUAGAGGAUUUUAUACAUUUGGGGUGUGGAAGCAGAUUGAUUAUAUCACUUUACCUGACAGGAUCUUGCUAAGUUAUCCAGGCUGGCUUUGAACUUGGGACCAUCCUGCCUUGGUGUUGCAAGUGGCUGGGCUUACAGGUCACUUCUCUUUCCUGGCCAAGGGGACUACAAGUUGAACUGCCAGAAGUUCUUCCCUCUGAGAGGAUUUUCCUUCACUGUUCCCCUUCAGUGGCAUCCCUGAGAUAUAGAAAUGAAAGGAUCAAGAAGAACCAGGACAAUCUUGGAAAAAGAAGAAUGAAGCCAGAAGCCUUUCUGUUUGGUUAAGAUACCCCUGGGCACUUAUGCCCACCAGACAGCCCACAACCUUGGUCCUGCCCUCCUUGCCCCUAUAGCUUACAUUCUAGUGAGGGAAAAUAAAUAAAUAAAUGAUAAAUGUUUAGUACUUUAAA